rnacentral:lncRNA from 1 species
CUUCCCUAGGCGCUGACUUGAAAUCAGUAGAAUAACUGUUCUCGAAAACUGCCGAAAAGACUCGAAAACGAUCGAAACUCGAACUUUCUUUCUCUAGCUUUCUCUCUCACGUUUUUCUCUGAGUUUCAGGUGUUCUGGAUGGUUUGAAAUGAGCUGGGGUCGUGGGGUUUAUAUAGGAUGCAGCAACCAAUCAGAAACAAGCCGUGUGGCAGCCCGUGUGUCGCUUCGCAUGGCUCCGGACGCAUGCGUCGCGGCACCUCGUGCUCCACAUGUCUGAUGGCAUGACCAGGACAUCAUGCAGAGUGACACCAUGCCCUCCAGAUGUCUGAUCCACGGCCUGACCUCAUCCAGAUUGACACUCAGCGCACACAUGUCGCUCAGCAUGCUCCGAUCGCAGGUUUCGCGGCACCUCGUGCUUCUGGGUGUCAAUCAGCAUGCUGUGCUCUCCUGGGCUUCAACACCUCCUGCUUCCCUUGCCACAUACCAUGCCAGGCAGGUUACAUAACGUCCUUAUCUCAUAGAUAAGGCCAGCUCGAGCUUCUCGGUCCAUUCGACUGAUUUCGACCCUUCCGGUGAAUUUUCGUCCCGCGAUCAAUCCCGAAUAUUUUUCUACGCCCGUUCUGAUGAGAUGAAUAUUUUUAAUAAACUCCAAGUGAAUCCUGAUCUUGAUGGAAAAUAUUUCCCGAGCCUCCGGCUUCCUCGAAAAAUCGAUAAUACCAAAAUUAGGGUUUUCGCCGAACUUUGGGUUUUCCCGUCGUGCUUCAAUCCCGUCGUGCUUGCUUCCCGUCCUGCUUAAUUCCCGUCCUGCUUCCGACUUAUAAUGUCUUCAGAAUAAUAUUUUACUGAUACGAAGAUAUUCCGAGAAAACUUCGCGAUGAAGAAACGUCAAUCUUCAAAAACGUCGAGCUUCUAAACCGUCGUGCUUCCAAAAAUGUGAUUCUUCCAAAAUCUUCGUCUGAUCAAUCUAAGACUCUUCUAAGAAAGGUAGAGCAGCUUAAUAUGUCUCAUGGUUCACUCACGAUCCAUUCUUCGACCACAUCGUACUUCAAAAAUUCUCGAUCGAUCCUUAUUGCCCGCGACUUAACCACCACAAACAUACUCGACCACUCUUUUCUUUUCUUCUUUUUUUUUUUUUUUUUAACGGGUUUCUACAUUCUCCCCCCCUUAAUAGAAUUCGUCCUCGAAUUCUUAGUUGCGCCAUUGCUCGUCUUCACAACAUUCUCCACUUGUCUCCAUAACCUCUUUACUCUGUCCACCACGGUUCCUUGAGUGUCCUCUUCAAGGCCUCCACAAUCGUCUUCAUAUCUCUUCACUUGAAUGAUCACUGAGUCGUCCUCUUUCUUUUACUCUGCCAUAACACACUCAUCGCCCAUGAUACUAUCUUGUUCUUUCUGUAGAUAUCAUCAUUGUCCAGAUUCCUCAAAUCCUUCUCGAUCUUUGUCUUCCCAAGUACUGAUGAAGUCCUUUCCCAACGAAUUCUUGUUUCCUCCCAUCUGUCCAGUCCAUUCCACUGUCCAGUCCCUCUGAAACUGUCUCUCCUCUUUCGCUUCGGGUUUGGGUUUGGCCUCGAACUCCCUCCACUUUAAGGUUUUCAUCCCUUAAAGUUCCGAUCAACAAACACACUUACUCGCUGCAACUCAAAAGAACACUUCACAUGCAAGUUAGUAGACAAUUAAUCAAAUAAGCUACUAACCUAGCAAAUACUAACAAUGCAACCUAACCGCAAUUCUAACCAGCAACCUAACAGUUCUACCCAAGCAACCUAACAGUUCUAGAUUCCACUAUCUCAAUCCCAAUUCCUAAAACCACAAAUCCUAUCGCUGGACGUGACCGGUUUCCCUAAUGCCUUUUGUGACUCAUUUUGACUCGAUAAAUAUUUAAAACCGAUUAAAUCAUGAGUUCCGGAAGCAUGGACAAAACCAUGCUCUGAUACCACCUCUGUAACACCCCCGAACCGUCCUAAGCAUAGGUCGACCCACCGGCCAACAAUCAAACAAGAACAUGACCGACGGACGACCCACACCAAGGGUUGGAGAUGAAAGGCCAACCGGCCAGCCAACAAUCAAACAAGAACAUGACUGACCGUCCAACCCAACACCAUGGUCCGGAAGCGCUACGUGACGGGCUAGGGACAAUCCGGUCAGAGUCACAAACUUUACUCCACGACCUAGACCAGUUCAUCCACUAACUCGUCCCGCUGCGUCAAGGCAUAAGGCUUUGCAACCCGUACCUAGAGUUAGCGUUUUCCGUUAGAUCGAGGCCUAAGGCUUUUCAACCCGUACUACGACCUAACGUUGUGUUAGACCGGACUAGUCAAAUAUCAGAGUACUCAUGAAGCGCAUAUAAAACAAUUACUUUAUUGAUUCGAGAAAUAUCCAUACAUUGAUAUAAUUCGAGACCGGUCCCGGCCUAAUGCCAAAUCGAGUCAACUAAACACAAAUCCACAAUACCGUUUACAAAAGGCAUGAAAAUCUACACCGGCGGUCCUAACGUCCAGCACCAAGCUAUCCGAUCAUCCUUACCUAAAGCGACCUGCAAAAAGGACAACGGAGUUGGAUGAGUAACCUAAUGUUACUCAGUGAGCUGGCGGCCUCUACCCGCAACCUAGACUCUAACCCGGACAACCCAAAAUAACAAUCAAUCUAGCCCUAGCAUGCAAUAAAAGAUAAGGCUAAGCAAACCGUUACUAAGUUAGACUUGGCCUCCUGCCAUGAUCUAGCUUCAAGUAACGGGAACCUGCAUAAAAACAAGUCAACAACCAAUCCCUAGUUAACCAUAUAUACGCCUGAGUUCAGUACUCAUGUAGUGUUAGACACUUAGACUAUACAAGUAUCACUAGUCGAUCGACCAACAAUCAAACAAGAACAUGAUCGGCCAACCAAUGAUACCGCAUAGCUUUAAUAUCCACCACCCUUCACAAGCAAUCCCUCAAACACAUACAGGCCAACGUCAGGCCUACAAUAAUAAAAUACACACUAAGCCUAAUCCGGUACCUAAGCCAGACUUAGGACUUAAUGUCAGAACCUGCAAGCAAAUCAAUCAACCACAAACACAAUCACAAUAAUAAGACUAUGAGUAACUACGACUCGAUCUAACUUGUAACGCCGUAUAUCGGUGCUACACUAACUCGAGGGUUCCUCACCCUCAAGACGACACAAUAAAACUAACUCGACACACUAUUCUAACUCUAGACUCAAUACUCUAACAUGGGCCCUGGUGAUCUCGUGUUCCUCCUCUCUAUCGGCAAUAUCCUAUCUCCCUACCACAAAGGCCAGAAGAAGGAACUUUCAACCGACCGCGGCCCACAGUCCUUCGGGUCACCGCGCGACAGCCCACAGUCCUUCGGGUCACUGUCCCAUUACACCGUCGUGUAAUACUCAGCCAUAGUACAUGACACCGUUCGUCUGAGUCUUCCCGAUCCAGCGAAUAAGGGGUUUCCUUGAACCCGCUGGGUACGAGGCCGAGGAAACACUAAUCACCCCUACACAAGCCUAGUAUGGGCGGGUUACGCACAUACUGUCGGCACACUCACACAACACAAACUCAAUCUAGAACCUAACCUAAAGAUAAAGUUCCAGAUCCUAACUAGACACUCGACUCCACAAGACUAACCAUAGUACCAGUAGUCCGGCCUAUAUGGCCUAAGACCCUUAGUACUAAUAACUAAACAAUAAUAUCAAUACUAAACAAAUAAAUCAAACCGUUACCCAGAUAGUCCAGCCUCCCGCUGAGAAACUAUCUUUAAAGAUAACGGGAACCUGCACUUAACAAUAUCAACACGCAAUAAUAGAAAACAUGAUGCAUCCUAGCCUUAGUCCUAGUCAGGUUAUUAACUCAGUCUUAAUUCCAUUCAUCUCAGCUUAGCCCUUGCUAAACUGAGUCCGGUUCCAUAAAUAAAAAUAACCCUAAGGACUCUACCAUUCAAUAGCGUGAUCAUUCUAAUCUAUAUGCAGACUCGAUCUACCCUAAAUUCCAAGUGGAAUUCAAACAAACCAACUCACAGUGUUCUAGGCGAGAAGCCGCUGGUUGAUCGGAGAGGACUUGGCCAAAACCCAAGGGACGCCUUGACUGGACUGGAAUGGACUGAUCUUGUCUUGGACACAACCUUGGCUUCACCAUGAAGAAGUUGACAGGCCUCGACAGGCUGAUCUGGAAUCGGAGAGAACCUCCUUUAGCUUCUGGACAGUUCUUCGGACAUCCUGGCGGAGUAUCGAGCAGAACUUCGACUGAUCUGAACCCAUGGAUCAGAACUAACUCCGGACAGAACCUCCACUUGACCAUCACAGAAUAUGACUGGCCUGGACGGAUUGAUUUGGGCAGAGCUUCCGCAUAACAAUUGCAGAAAUUCUUCGAUUGGACAGAACUUCGCUUCUUGGUGAAGUAUCGAUCUUCGGAACUCAGCUACACUCUCUUUCUCUCUCUCUCUAACCACGUUGACUUGCUUCCCAUCUGAAUUGAUAUUCAAUUGGUUGAUCUUCAGUUGGCCAGAACCUUCCCUAGGCGCUGACUUGAAAUCAGUAGAAUAACUGUUCUCGAAAACUGCCGAAAAGACUCGAAAACGAUCGAAACUCGAACUUUCUUUCUCUAGCUUUCUCUCUCACGUUUUUCUCUGAGUUUCAGGUGUUCUGGAUGGUUUGAAAUGAGCUGGGGUCGUGGGGUUUAUAUAGGAUGCAGCAACCAAUCAGAAACAAGCCGUGUGGCAGCCCGUGUGUCGCUUCGCAUGGCUCCGGACGCAUGCAUCGCGGCACCUCGUGCUCCACAUGUCUGAUGGCAUGACCAGGACAUCAUGCAUAGUGACACCAUGCCCUCCAGAUGUCUGAUCCACGGCCUGACCUCAUCCAGAUUGACACUCAGCGCACACAUGUCGCUCAGCAUGCUCCGAUCGCAGGUUUCGCGGCACCUCGUGCUUCUGGGUGUCAAUCAGCAUGCUGUGCUCUCCUGGGCUUCAACACCUCCUGCUUCCCUUGCCACAUACCAUGCCAGGCAGGUUACAUCACGUC